CCUUUUUCUUUUUUCUUUUUUUUUUUUUUUUUUU
rnacentral:ribozyme from 14 species